UCCGGUUUGUCACCGGCGGUCUCCUUAGAGUUCCCACCAUUACGUGCUGGCAACUAAGGACAAGGGUUGCGCUCGUUGCGGGACUUAACCCAACAUCUCACGACACGAGCUGACGACAGCCAUGCAGCACCUGUGUUCGAGUUCCCGAAGGCACCAAUCCAUCUCUGGAAAGUUCUCGACAUGUCAAGGCCAGGUAAGGUGGGGAUGACGUACCAAGGUUGGUU
rnacentral:misc_RNA from 1 species